GGAGGGGGGACGCUGGCUCCUUCUAGGGUGGAGGAGGGGAGGAAUCAGGUGCGCGUAGCCUCAUGACAAUGGCCGAACCGGCACUGCUGGCUCCGGGCUCACCCAGGGGAUUCGCAGGCAUCUCUCCGACUGGGAGCUGCAGAAACCAGCUGGGACUCAGUACUGUGUUGAAGAGGAGCAAAGAGAGUGGACAUCCCAAUCUUACUUCUGACCUUAGAAGAAAAACAUUGCACCAUUAGAGAUCACAAGUAGGCAGAGAGGCAGGCAGAGAGAGAGAGAGAGAAGCAGGCUCCCUGCCGAGCAGAGAGCCCCAUGCGGGACUCGAUCCGGGGACCCUGAAAUCACGACCUGAGCCGAAGGCAGCGGCUUAACCCACUGAGCCACCCAGGCGCCCAAGAUGUCUAAAAUGUUUAAAGGAAUUUGAUGUAUUACAGAAUAAAACAUUGCCUUGUGAUUACAACUUAAAAAGUAAGA
rnacentral:lncRNA from 1 species